rnacentral:rRNA from 1 species
UUGUUCAUCGGAGCAGGGUGAGUCGGCCCCUAAGGCGAGGCAGAGAUGCGUAGCUGAUGGGAAGCAGGUUAAUAUUCCUGCACCGUCGUAUGAUGCGAUGGGGGGACGGAUCGCGGAAGGUUGUCUGACUGUUGGAAUAGUCAGUUUCUGGUUCAUAGAAGGCGCUUAGGCAAAUCCGGGCGCGUAAUUCAAGGGACUGGGACGAGGUGCUUAGGCACUGAAGCAAUCGGAAGUGGUUCCAAGAAAAGCCUCUAAGCUUCAGUCAUACGAGACCGUACCGCAAACCGACACAGGUGGGCGAGAUGAGUAUUCUAAGGCGCUUGAGAGAACUCGGGAGAAGGAACUCGGCAAAUUGGUACCGUAACUUCGGGAAAAGGUACGCCCUUGUAGCUUGGCUGAUUUACUUCAGUAGGGUGAACGGGUUGCAAUAAACUGGUGGCUGCGACUGUUUAAUAAAAACACAGCACUCUGCAAACACGAAAGUGGACGUAUAGGGUGUGACGCCUGCCCGGUGCUGGAAGAUUAAAUGAUGGGGUGCAAGCUCUUGAUUGAAGUCCCAGUAAACGGCGGCCGUAACAAUAACGGUCCUAAGGUAGCGAAAUUCCUUGUCGGGUAAGUUCCGACCUGCACGAAUGGCGUAACGAUGGCCACACUGUCUCCUCCCGAGACUCAGCGAAGUUGAAGUGUUUGUGAUGAUGCAAUCUACCCGCGGCUAGACGGAAAGACCCCAUGAACCUUUACUGUAGCUUUGCAUUGGACUUUGAAUCAAUCUGUGUAGGAUAGGUGGGAGGCUUUGAAGCGGUGACGCCAGUCAUCGUGGAGCCAACCUUGAAAUACCACCCUGGUUCAUUUGAGGUUCUAACCUUGGCCCGUUAUCCGGGUCGGGGACAGUGCAUGGUAGGCAGUUUGACUGGGGCGGUCUCCUCCUAAAGUGUAACGGAGGAGUUCGAAGGUACGCUAGGUACGGUCGGACAUCGUGCUAAUAGUGCAAUGGCAUAAGCGUGCUUAACUGCGAGACUGACAAGUCGAGCAGGUACGAAAGUAGGACAUAGUGAUCCGGUGGUUCUGUAUGGAAGGGCCAUCGCUCAACGGAUAAAAGGUACUCUGGGGAUAACAGGCUGAUUCCUCCCAAGAGUUCAUAUCGACGGGGGAGUUUGGCACCUCGAUGUCGGCUCAUCACAUCCUGGGGCUGUAGCCGGUCCCAAGGGUAUGGCUGUUCGCCAUUUAAAGUGGUACGUGAGCUGGGUUUAAAACGUCGUGAGACAGUUUGGUCCCUAUCUGCCGUGGGCGUUGGAAAUUUGAAGGGGGCUGCUCCUAGUACGAGAGGACCGGAGUGGACAGACCUCUGGUGUACCGGUUGUCACGCCAGUGGCAUUGCCGGGUAGCUAAGUCUGGAAGAGAUAACCGCUGAAAGCAUCUAAGCGGGAAACUUGCCUUGAGAUGAGAUUUCCCAGAGCCUUGAGCUCUUUGAAGGGUCGUUCGAGACCAGGACGUUGAUAGGUCAGGUGUGGAACUAAAAAAA